UACGUAGGGUGCGAGCGUUGUCCGGAUUUACUGGGCGUAAAGCGCGCGCAGGCGGCAUGUCAAGUAAGGUGUGAAAUCUCCCUGCUCAACGGGGAGGGUGCAUUUUAGACUGGCAAGCUAGAGGACGGUAGAGGGGGGUAGAAUUGCUGGUGUAGCGGUGAAAUGCGUAGAGAUCAGCAGGAAUACCCGUGGCGAAGGCGGCCCCCUGGGUCGACACUGACGCUCAGGCACGAAAGCGUGGGGAGCAAACAGG
rnacentral:rRNA from 1 species